rnacentral:lncRNA from 1 species
GAUCCUGGCGAUGCAGCCCAACAGGAAGCAAAGCACAGGGAAGCAGAAAUGAGAAACAGUAUCUUAACCCAAGUUUUGGAUCAGUCGGCCGGGCCAGGUUUAAGUAACUUAGCACUUGUAAAGCCUGAAAAAACUAAAGCAGUAGAGAAUUACCUUAUACAGAUGGCAAGAUAUGGACAACUGAGAAGGUGUCAGAACAAGGUUUAAUAGAAAUCCUUUAAAAAGUAAGCCAACAAACAGAAAAGACAACAACAGUGAAAUUCAACAGAAGAAAAGUAAUGGACUCUGAUGAAGAAGACGAUUAUUGAA